UUCUGUCUUGACAUUCCCCCGCCCAGUAGCCAGGGAAGCAGACUCCCUCCUAAGCCACAGAGGAUGAACGUUGGUGGAUCUCAGCCACGCGGGGUCUUCCUGCCUCCGCAUCAGUGACUAGCUCAGGCAUCGGCGUGUUAUGCAGCCCUGGCGAAGGACGCCUAAGGGGAGACCCACGAGGCCAAGGCUUUCGGAAAGAAUCUCAGAGAAGCUGACUCAGAGCCUCGCUUUCCCUGAAGGUGGAACUAACCUCUCUGACUAUGGAAGAAAAAUGAUAGCCUUGCUCACUGUUUGAGCUGGAAGGUUCUGACACAUAAAUGCCAGCUAUCGUGUUCCUCCAUAGUUGAUGGGGUCAACAGGAAAAUAAGCUGAUGGGUACGGGGUAGAAACAGUGAAAGAGUUUACAAAAUAAAGAAAGGUGACUUUUUUUGUAGACAGAAGAAUCACCUAGAAAAAAAAGAGUUGGCUGAAAAUGCCGGAGGAGGGCCGGGGAUGUAGCUCAGCGGCACAAGCGCCUGCCUGGCGUGUGCAAGGUCCUGAGUUCAAUUCUCGGUACCAAAAAAAAAAAGAAAGAAAGAAAAUGCCGGAGGGAAGAGGACUAGCAGAAGAGGCAGAAGAAGACUACCGCUCUGUAAGUAGACACCGCACACCAGUCACCGGGCAAGGGGUGGGAUGUCGUGGGGAACGGGAAGGCAAGUCUCUGCUCUUAGGGAACUUCUGUCUGGGGAGGUGGGGAGGCCGUGAAUGUGUGGACCAGGUGCUCAGCGGCCUCUGUCUCCCCCUGCCCAGCCAGUUCCAGCCUGGUUCCACUGAACAGUUCAACCAACCAGUCAACACUUCCGACGUCCUUGCUUAAAGAAGCUCCGCCCCAUUUCUGGAGGAGGCUGGGGCGGCCUCGUGCAGGAGGAGGAACGAGGCUGGAGCAGCUCCUCUGUGCGUCUCUGGAUUCCCUUCCAAAAUGCUGUCAGCACUACCAGUUGGAAAAUAUUUUUCUCCCUCCCUUUGUCUUUCUUAUUAAAAAAAAAAAAAAAAAAAAAAAAGCCAUCUGGUGUCAGAUUCACUCCUGGCACAUCAUAAAGGGUAGCACUAAAAAUGUCCCUGAAAAACUAAAAGCAAAACCGCAGCAGAAUACACGGGGUUUCAUCUCAGCAUCCUAGAAUGUCAGAGUCGCUAGGGGAUGCGGAGAGCAAACCCUUCCGUGUAACGCAGGAGGAAACUGAGGCCAACGGAGAACUGGUCAUUCUUUUUUUUUUUUUUUUU
rnacentral:lncRNA from 1 species